ACAGGCGUGGCAAGCGUUACUCGGAAUUAUUGGGUGUAAAGGGCAGGUAGGUGGCCCGGUAAGUGAGAGGUGAAAUCCUGCGGUUCAAUCGCAGAACUGCCUUUCAAACUGCCAGGCUUGAGAAUGAUAGAGGAAGAUGGAAUUCCUGGUGUAAGGGUGAAAUCUGUAGAUAUCAGGAAGAACACCAACGGCGAAGGCAAUCUUCUGGGUCAUUUCUGACACUGAGCUGCGAAAGCUAGGGGAGCAAACAGAAUUAGAUACUCUGGUAGUCCUAGCCGUAAACGAUGAAUACUAGGUGUUAGCCCCUUCGGGGGUUGGCGCCGAAGCUAACGCAUUAAGUAUUCCACCUGGGGACUACGGUCGCAAGGCUA
rnacentral:rRNA from 1 species